rnacentral:rRNA from 1 species
AAAAAAGGUAAGCUACUAAGAGCGAAUGGUGGAUGCCUUGACUGGUAAAGGCGAUGAAGGACGUACUAGACUGCGAUAAGCUACGGGGAGCUGUCAAGAAGCUUUGAUCCGUAGAUUUCCGAAUGGGGCAACCCAAUGUAUAGAGAUAUACAUUACCUAUAUAGGAGCGAACGAGGGGAAUUGAAACAUCUUAGUACCCUCAGGAAAAGAAAUCAAUAGAGAUUGCGUCAGUAGCGGCGAGCGAAAGCGCAAGAGGGCAAACCCAGUGCUUGCACUGGGGGUUGUAGGACUGCAAUGUGCAAGAGGUAAGUUUAGCAGAACAUUCUGGAAAGUAUAGCCAUAGAGGGUGAUAGUCCCGUAUGCGAAAAACAAACCUUAGCUAGCAGUAUCCUGAGUAGGGCGGGACACGAGAAAUCCUGUCUGAAGCUGGGUCGACCACGAUCCAACCCUAAAUACUAAUACCAGAUCGAUAGUGCACAAGUACCGUGAGGGAAAGGUGAAAAGAACUGAGGUGAUCAGAGUGAAAUAGAACCUGAAACCAUUUGCUUACAAUCAUUCAGAGCACUAUGUAGCAAUACAGUGUGAUGGACUGCCUUUUGCAUAAUGAGCCUGCGAGUUGUGGUGUCUGGCAAGGUUAAGCAAACGCGAAGCCGUAGCGAAAGCGAGUCUGAAUAGGGCGCUUAGUCAGAUGCUGCAGACCCGAAACGAAGUGAUCUAUCCAUGAGCAAGUUGAAGCUAGUGUAAGAACUAGUGGAGGACUGAACCCAUAGGCGUUGAAAAGCCCCGGGAUGACUUGUGGAUAGGGGUGAAAGGCCAAUCAAACUUCGUGAUAGCUGGUUCUCUCCGAAAUAUAUUUAGGUAUAGCGUUGUGUCGUAAUAUAAGGGGGUAGAGCACUGAAUGGGCUAGGGCAUACACCAAUGUACCAAACCCUAUCAAACUCCGAAUACCUUAUAUGUAAUCACAGCAGUCAGGCGGCGAGUGAUAAAAUCCGUCGUCAAGAGGGAAACAACCCAGACUACCAGCUAAGGUCCCUAAAUCUUACUUAAGUGGAAAACGAUGUGAAGUUACUUAAACAACCAGGAGGUUGGCUUAGAAGCAGCCAUCCUUUAAAGAAAGCGUAAUAGCUCACUGGUCUAGUGAUUUUGCGCGGAAAAUAUAACGGGGCUAAAGUAAGUACCGAAGCUGUAGACUUGACUUUGUCAAGUGGUAGGAGAGCGUUCUAUUUGCGUCGAAGGUAUACCGGUAAGGAGUGCUGGAGCGAAUAGAAGUGAGCAUGCAGGCAUGAGUAGCGAUAAUUAAUGUGAGAAUCAUUAACGCCGUAAACCCAAGGUUUCCUACGCGAUGCUCGUCAUCGUAGGGUUAGUCGGGUCCUAAGUCGAGUCCGAAAGGGGUAGACGAUGGCAAAUUGGUUAAUAUUCCAAUACCAACAUUAGUGUGCGAUGGAAGGACGCUUAGGGCUAAGGGGGCUAGCGGAUGGAAGUGCUAGUCUAAGGUCGUAGGUGCUUAUACAGGCAAAUCCGUAUAAGAAUACACCGAGAACUGAAAGGCUUUUUGAAGUCUUCGGAUGGAUAGAAGAACCCCUGAUGCCGUCGAGCCAAGAAAAGUUUCUAAGUUUAGCUAAUGUUGCCCGUACCGUAAACCGACACAGGUGGGUGGGAUGAGUAUUCUAAGGCGCGUGGAAGAACUCUCUUUAAGGAACUCUGCAAAAUAGCACCGUAUCUUCGGUAUAAGGUGUGGUUCGCUUCGUAUUAGGAUUUACUCCGAAAGCGAAGAAACUUACAACAAAGAGUCCCUCCCGACUGUUUACCAAAAACACAGCACUCUGCUAACUCGUAAGAGGAUGUAUAGGGUGUGACGCCUGCCCGGUGCUCGAAGGUUAAUUGAUGGGGUUAGCAUUAGCGAAGCUCUUGAUCGAAGCCCGAGUAAACGGCGGCCGUAACUAUAACGGUCCUAAGGUAGCGAAAUUCCUUGUCGGUUAAAUACCGACCUGCAUGAAUGGCGUAACGAGAUGGGAGCUGUCUCAAAGAGGGAUCCAGUGAAAUUGUAGUGGAGGUGAAAAUUCCUCCUACCCGCGGCAAGACGGAAAGACCCCGUGGACCUUUACUACAGCUUGACACUGCUACUUGGAUAAGAAUGUGCAGGAUAGGUGGGAGGCUUUGAGUAUAUGACGCCAGUUGUAUAUGAGCCAUUGUUGAGAUACCACUCUUUCUUAUUUGGGUAGCUAACCAGCUUGAGUUAUCCUCAAGUGGGACAAUGUCUGGUGGGUAGUUUGACUGGGGCGGUCGCCUCCCAAAUAAUAACGGAGGCUUACAAAGGUUGGCUCAGAACGGUUGGAAAUCGUUCGUAGAGUAUAAAGGUAUAAGCCAGCUUAACUGCAAGACAUACAAGUCAAGCAGAGACGAAAGUCGGUCUUAGUGAUCCGGUGGUUCUGUGUGGAAGGGCCAUCGCUCAAAGGAUAAAAGGUACCCCGGGGAUAACAGGCUGAUCUCCCCCAAGAGCUCACAUCGACGGGGAGGUUUGGCACCUCGAUGUCGGCUCAUCGCAUCCUGGGGCUGGAGCAGGUCCCAAGGGUAUGGCUGUUCGCCAUUUAAAGCGGUACGCGAGCUGGGUUCAGAACGUCGUGAGACAGUUCGGUCCCUAUCUGCCGUGGGCGUAAGAAGAUUGAAGAGAUUUGACCCUAGUACGAGAGGACCGGGUUGAACAAACCACUGGUGUAGCUGUUGUUCUGCCAAGAGCAUCGCAGCGUAGCUAAGUUUGGAAAGGAUAAACGCUGAAAGCAUCUAAGCGUGAAGCCAACUCUAAGAUGAAUCUUCUCUAAGCUCUCUAGAAGACUACUAGUUUGAUAGGCUGGGUGUGUAAUGGAUGAAAGUCCUUUAGCUGACCAGUACUAAUAGAGCGUUUGGCUUAUCUUUAAUAAAGCAU